rnacentral:rRNA from 1 species
UACGUAGGCAGCGAGCGUUGUUCGGAGUUACUGGGCGUAAAGAGUGCGUAGGCGGUUUUCUAAGUUUGGUGUGAAAUCUCCCGGCUCAACUGGGAGGGUGCGCCGAAGACUGGAAGGCUUGAGUAUGGGAGAGGUAAGCGGAAUUCCUGGUGUAGCGGUGAAAUGCGUAGAUAUCAGGAGGAACACCAAUGGCGAAGGCAGCUCGCUGGGACGUGACUGACGCUGAGACGCGAAAGCGUGGGGAGCAAACAGG